GAUGAACGCUGGCGGCGUGCCUAACACAUGCAAGUCGAGCGAUUCUCUUCGGAGAAGAGCGGCGGACGGGUGAGUAACGCGUGGGUAACCUGCCCUGUACACACGGAUAACAUACCGAAAGGUAUGCUAAUACGAGAUAAUAUGCUUUUAUCGCAUGGUAGAAGCAUCAAAGCUUUUGCGGUACAGGAUGGACCCGCGUCUGAUUAGCUAGUUGGUAAGGUAACGGCUUACAAAGGCGACGAUCAGUAGCCGACCUGAGAGGGUGAUCGGCCACAUUGGAACUGAGACACGGUCCAAACUCCUACGGGAGGCAGCAGUGGGGAAUAUUGCACAAUGGGCGAAAGCCUGAUGCAGCAACGCCGCGUGAGCGAUGAAGGCCUUCGGGUCGUAAAGCUCUGUCCUCAAGGAAGAUAAUGACGGUACUUGAGGAGGAAGCCCCGGCUAACUACGUGCCAGCCGCCGCGGUAA
rnacentral:rRNA from 1 species